rnacentral:misc_RNA from 1 species
GAGAUCAUGCCCUUCGGGGUAGACCUCCCACCCUGUGUUAUUUACUCUUGUUGCUUUGGCAGGCCGCCUUCGGGCUCCCGGCUUCGGCUGGGGCGCGCCUGCCAGAGGACCCCAAACCCUGUCUUACAGUGUCGUCCGAGUACUAUAUAAUAGUUAAAACUUUCAACAACGGAUCUCUUGGUUCU